UUUUUUUUUAUCUUUUAUUUGUUUUUCAAUAGUCAGGAUUUAAUAUACAUGUACCCCUACACUACCACCUGACAAGGGUAUCAAGGGGUUACAUAUAAAAAAUAAUUCAGUAUACAAUAUAUAUCACUGACAAGUUGAUUUUUAUAAUUAUACAUGUAGUAUUUAAGGUUACAUAUAAAUUUUAUUUCAUUAUAUUCUCUCGCUCUCUGACUUUCUCUCAUACAAUACAAAUACUCUUCACUCAUUUGCUUUGCUACAAUAUGUACAUGAUGUAUCUUGACUUAUAUUUUAAAAACAAAAUAUUUUAAAGAAAAAACAAAAAAAACAAAAAAAACUCAAGGCUAAAUAUUUGCUCAUGAUAUAUAGAUAUUUUAUUCUCUCACUUAUAUGAAACAAUAAUUAAUUAAAUAUUACAUGUAAAGGAGACCAAAAUUUUUCACACACUUGGACUCUAUUAUUUUUCUUUGCAAUAUAAUAUUCAAGAAAUUGGUAUUUCUUUAUUCUAUUCUUUAACCCAACCAUAUUUGGUUUUGUUUCAUUUAAUUUACAUUUGUAUAUAUAGUUUUUUGUAAUUAUGACUAACAGAUUCAGUAAUAAACUUUCAUGUUUGCAACCAAGAAACACAUUCUCUUUGUUAAGAACAAAGUUUACAAAAAAAAUUUUACUGCAUUUGAAAAAGACUGCCACAAUUGAAAAGUUAUUGGGCAUUAAAAAAAAAGGUGUUCAAUGGUUUCUUCACCAAGUUUACAAAAAGUACACAUCUUGGUGUCUUUUAAUUUAAUUUUGUAUAAAAAGGUAUUAGUUGCUAUGAUUCUAUGCAAAAAUUUGUAUUGAAAAGUUCUUAAAUAAACAUCUCUACAUGA